rnacentral:rRNA from 1 species
AGAGUUUGAUCCUGGCUCAGGACGAACGCUGGCGGCGUGCUUAACACAUGCAAGUCGAACGGUAAGGCCUCUUCGGAGGUACACGAGUGGCGAACGGGUGAGUAACACGUGAGCAACUUACCCCUGACUUCGGAAUACCAGCUGGAAACAGCUGCUAAUACCGGAUACAACUGUGGCAGUCAUCUGCGACGGUGGAAAGCUCCGGCGGUUGGGGAUGGGCUCGCGGCCUAUCAGCUUGUUGGUGAGGUAACGGCUCACCAAGGCUUCGACGGGUAGCCGGCCUGAGAGGGCGACCGGCCACACUGGGACUGAGAUACGGCCCAGACUCCUACGGGAGGCAGCAGUGGGGAAUAUUGCACAAUGGGCGCAAGCCUGAUGCAGCAACGCCGCGUGCGGGAUGACGGCCUUCGGGUUGUAAACCGCUUUCAGCAGGGACGAAGCGAAAGUGACGGUACCUGCAGAAGAAGGACCGGCUAACUACGUGCCAGCAGCCGCGGUGAUACGUAGGGUCCGAGCGUUGUCCGGAAUUAUUGGGCGUAAAGAGCUCGUAGGCGGUCCGUCACGUCAGAAGUGAAAACUCAGGGCUUAACCCUGAGCCUGCUUUUGAUACGGGCGGACUGGAGGUAUGCAGGGGAGAAUGGAAUUCCUGGUGGAAGCGGUGGAAUGCGCAGAUAUCAGGAGGAACCACCAGUGGCGAAGGCGGUUCUCUGGGCAUUACCUGACGCUGAAGGAGCGAAAGCGUGGGGAGCAAACAGGCUUAGAUACCCUGGUAGUCCACGCCGUAAACGGUGGGCACUAGGUGUGGGGGACAUUCCACGUUCUCCGUGCCGAAGCUAACGCAUUAAGUGCCCCGCCUGGGGAGUACGGCCGCAAGGCUAAAACUCAAAGGAAUUGACGGGGGCCCGCACAAGCGGCGGAGCAUGCGGAUUAAUUCGAUGCAACGCGAAGAACCUUACCUGGGUUUGACAUAUGCCGGAAAGCUGCAGAGAUGUAGCCCCCGCAAGGUCGGUAUACAGGUGGUGCAUGGCUGUCGUCAGCUCGUGUCGUGAGAUGUUGGGUUAAGUCCCGCAACGAGCGCAACCCUCGUCCUAUGUUGCCAGCGGAUAAUGCCGGGGACUCAUAGGAGACUGCCGGGGUCAACUCGGAGGAAGGUGGGGAUGACGUCAAGUCAUCAUGCCCCUUAUGUCCAGGGCUUCACGCAUGCUACAAUGGCUGGUACAAAGAGCUGCAAAACCGUAAGGUCGAGCGAAUCUCAAAAAGCCAGUCUCAGUUCGGAUUGGGGUCUGCAACUCGACCCCAUGAAGUCGGAGUCGCCAGUAAUCGCAGAUCAGCAACGCUGCGGUGAAUACGUUCCCGGGCCUUGUACACACCGCCCGUCAAGUCAUGAAAGUCGGUAACACCCGAAGCCGGUGGCCCAACCCUUGUGGAGGGAGCCGUCGAAGGUGGGACUGGCGAUUAGGACUAAGUCGUAACAAGGUAACCGUA